rnacentral:misc_RNA from 1 species
AAUUGGGCUUAAAAUGGGCCUUAGACUUACAAUGGGACUCGGGGACUUAGGCUAACCGACGUACGGAUCAUUAACAGCCACACAAAUCACCGAAUCAAUCCCUUUAGCCUUGAACUUACCAAUAUUGUUUUUGUAACUAGGCACGUGCUGUUGUGAACAAACCCCUGGAGAUAGUAAAAGCAAAACCCAGAAAACUAUUCAAGCAAUGUAUUAUGUAUCAAUAAAACUGAAUAUAAAGGAAAUAAAUAGACUUGCAUCUUGGUUGGAGACAAAAGAAAAUUUCAUUGCUUGAAGACAAUGUGGCUUUUCGAUUUUAUGUUUUGGACAGCUAUAUUGUUCUAAUCGUGAGGGGAAAACAUUCAAAGAAUCAAAGAACUAUUAGAUAAUGGUUUUGCAUUUGAAAGCAGAUAUUGGCAUUGGCAUUAAUCAGCUAAAAAAAAAAAUUGAAAGUUG